rnacentral:lncRNA from 1 species
GUUGAAUGUUUCUUUAAAUAAAAGGCUUAGUUUGCAUUUGGUUGUGAUGCAGUAUGGAGAAUGUGAGACCGUUUUUUCCAAACAAGAUUGCUCAUUCCUACAGGAAAUGACCUCGUUCUUGAUGGCUGCUGCUAACUUAUGGUGAGAUGCUGGGUCCCUGUCCAAUACCACAUGGACAUCCAAUCAAUUUACCCAGGGACAAGUCCACUCAAGAGCAUCAUUUAGAAGAGGGAAAAGGCAUUGGGGUUAUUUGUUUUUGGAGUAUGUGCUUAAGGAAAUCUAGAGUAUUCCCACGAGCAUUCUGCUGAGAUGAACAAUCAGAUGACCUCGUGUGAGAUUUGGAGGAGAGAAGGAAAUGGAGAGCAUGCUUCUGCCGCUUCUGUGGUUUCUGUCGGUAAGCACAGUGAUGAGGUGCUGAGUUUUCCCCAGAAGGCCUCCCAGUGUCCUAUUACCAGCUUCACAAGCGUCGAGGGCAGGGCAUGGGCAUCCAUUGUUCACCAGUGGAGAUCUAUCUGGCACAGAACCGAUCCAACCAUUGCAGUG